rnacentral:rRNA from 1 species
UACAGAGGGUGCAAGCGUUGUUCGGAAUUACUGGGCGUAAAGGGCGCGUAGGCGGUCUGCUAAGUUGGAUGUGAAAACUCUGGGCUUAACCCAGAGCCUGCAUUCAAUACUGACAGGCUAGAGUUCUGGAGGGGAUAGCGGAAUUCCUGGUGUAGCGGUGAAAUGCGUAGAUAUCGGGAGGAACACCGGUGGCGAAGGCGGCGACCUGGGUGGAUACUGACGCUGAGGCGCGAAAGCGUGGGGAGCAAACAGG